rnacentral:rRNA from 1 species
CCCCUAGUAACUGCGAGUGAAGCGGGAAGAGCUCAAAUUUAAAAUCCGGCGUGCCUCUGGCCGCCCGAGUUGUAGUCUGGAGAAGCGUUUUCCGUGUUGGACCGUGUAUAAGUCUCUUGGAACAGGGCGUCAUAGAGGGUGAGAAUCCCGUCUUUGACACGGACUACCAAUGCUUUGUGAUGCGCUCUCAAAGAGUCGAGUUGUUUGGGAAUGCAGCUCAAAAUGGGUGGUAAAUUCCAUCUAAAGCUAAAUAUAGGCGAGAGACCGAUAGCGAACAAGUACCGUGAGGGAAAGAUGAAAAGCACUUUGGAAAGAGAGUUAAACAGUACGUGAAAUUGCUGAAAGGGAAACGCUUGAAGUCAGUCACGUCUGCCAGGACUCAGCCUUGCUUCUGCUUGGUGCACUUUCUGGUUUGAUGGGCCAACAUCAAUUUCGACCGUUGGAGAAAGGCUUUGGGAACGUGGCACCUUCGGGUGUGUUAUAGCCCUUUGUUGUAUACAACGGUUGGGAUUGAGGACCGCAGCACGCCUUCAUGGCCGGGGUUCGUCCCACGUACGUGCUUAGGAUGUUGGCAUAAUGGCUUUAAGCGACCCGUCUUGAAACACGGACCAAGGAGUUUAACAUGCCUGCGAGUGUUUGGGUGGAAAACCCAUGCGCGUAAUGAAAGUGAUAGCUGAGAUCCUCUCAUCAGGAGCAUCAGCGCCUGGACUUGAUCUACGGAGACGGUUCUACGGUAGAGCAUGUAUGUUGGGACCCGAAAGAUGGUGAACUAUGCCUGAAUAGGGUGAAGCCAGAGGAAACUCUGGUGGAGGCUCGUAGCGAUUCUGACGUGCAAAUCGAUCGUCAAAUUUGGGUAUAGGGCGAAA